ACCCAGUACGGGGCAGGUGUGGGGCGCAGGCCGGCUGUCUCGGUGCAGUUUUCUCCCGUUCUUCAAAUACACGCGCAGGAGUGAUGAGCCCCAUUAGCGCUGCUCUUAAAGUUGCUUUUAACGAGCUGUUCCAUUGCCUCGUGUGCUGGUGCUGCCUGCACGGGUGACAGCGAUGCACCUGAGCCAGGAGUGAGUUGGGGCAGCAGGGCGGUGUGUGUGGGGGGCCACACUUUCCGGGGCGGGGGAGGCAUGGGGAGGUCAGGAAGAGGGGGGCUGCUUUUGUUUUGUAUGCUUGUUCAAAGGUAGGGAGGGAAGAAGCUGGGCGCAGAAACAAUGGACCUGUGUUAUCAUUCCCAGCAUCUGGAGUGCCCUCAGACAGGGAACGCACCCCUGAGAUGUGGGAAAUACGGACUCCUCUGGCAUGGGAUUUUCACCCCUCCCUGUUCUGCCACUUUCUAUGUAAACUUAAGAGAUUUUUAUAAUUCCUGCCCUGCUGGUAGUAAGAGGCACAUUGGCAAGCCAUUACUGCACUUGAAUUGAGGUGUGACCUAGCUACAUUGUCUCAGCUCCUUUUGAAAUGCAAUCAUCUGAUGGCAAGAAACUGAGAAAUCCGGGCUCGUUUUGAUGUGUCCGACAGUCAGGACAAUAAAGAAAAGGUGUUAAAACAGUCACUCACACAAACAUGCACAUGCACACACGCAUGCUCUCCAACCCCUGUGUGAAGGUUUUGUUUCCCACCCACAAAGCUGAUCAUUUACCCUGAAGAACCAUCACUUUUUCUCAGUUGUGAGGUCAGAGAAAACACUUAGCAAAGAGUGGAAAAAGACCUGCAUCUCCUGCACCCCAGCUGCCCCCAGCAUUGGUGGCACCUUUUUGGCUUUGCUGUCAAAAAAAGCACACGGGCAGCAGUACACCAAGAGAUGCAUCUUUAAUACCUCUGGGGUGUGAAGGUGAUAGGGUACCAGGAUAACCAAGUUCUGUGAUCCUUUCUGUUUGAUGCUGAAAUUCUAAUGUGUCAUCCUAGGAAAUUUUAGGGUUAUUUCUGCAUGUGUUACUCAACGUUUCAGAAUUCCUAAUUCAGCCCACCAGAGCCAUUCUAAUUCCUCCUCUUUUGCACAGCUCAUACCCCAACAAAUCGCUGCUUCUCUGGGGUACUCCACUGGGAAAUGCAGUUUCCUGACACAUACUUUCAGCUCCUGACACACAUCCAAGUCAUCUGCGCAUCCUUGAUCUCUCACUUUCUGAUAGCAAGAGUGGUGGCCAGAUGAGGUUGCAUGCAAUCCCAUAUUGUUAAAACUUGUGCUUUGGGGUAUGCACACUGAGAUUUUGGCUACUAAAGGAAAAGGACAAAAACCAUACCUCCAUCUCUCCCUUCUCAUCACCCUCCCUCACACUUAACGUAUCCCAAAGAACAGGGUAAAUUUCAGAUCCCCAAAGAGAUCCUAGUGACUCCGCAAGGACACCAGAAAAUACUGGUUUACUCCCUUUUUGGAGUAACCUCAUCCUCUUCUUCAGAACCUUCCUGCAGGUUGGUCCAGUGAGUGAGUCCACACCUGGAGAAAAGAAGUAAGGGUGAACUAAGAGAAAGCAAAGAUCAGAGCUGAAGGAUGAAAAACUGUCAGAUAGGAUCAGAGAGCAUAUGCGAAGAAGGGACUAGAGAGGAUAGUGGAAGAGAUUCUCUGGUCAGUUAGAGCAUAUUCGGGUGUUUAUGCUCCAGCAUGAGACAGCAUGGAAAAGCAAGAAAAAUGUACCAAAGGUGGCCUGGGCUAUUAAAGGAUCUAUGAUGGUUCA